ensembl:lncRNA
GGUCAGCCUUCCCAGGAUGCCUUCCCUUAACCUGGAACCACACCAUGACCGCUGGUGGCUUUCAGUGCUUUCUUGGUAAAGCUGCCAGAGGCUGAGCUAGAGAAAUUUGUGUGAGAGAAUCAUUCUGUAAUUUAGCAAGAUGCCUGAAUUCCUUCUUUUUAACUAAAAGCCGAAACACGAGCCUGUGCUGCAGCAGCGGCCGCGGGACGUUCUGUAUUCAUAGAAACUCCUACAGGUAAUCACGCUCACGUGUUUAAUUAUGACCUGCAGAGACCAGGAGCCUCCCGGAUGUCUGGAGAGUGAGCAACCACAGGGACCGUCCUUCCUGCCACCACGAGUCCCCUUCGCCCCGAGGGCUGGUGCCCAGGACACUUUCCUCAAGGCCUGCAGCGGAGCUGCCAACCUCCUGGGCGGCAGUGCACAGUGUGUGCACAAGAACCCCUUCCGUCUUAGUACUGUGAGGAAACUGGCGAGAAACGACACGGGGGCAUCCCUGGUAGAGACUGCAGAUACACACCUUGGCAGCUGUGUUCCUUGGGGAUAUUGUGAGAGAAUGAUAUUUCUCUUCCCAAGCCCGAUGACUAGAAAAUAUGAGUCUCACAUGAGACCACACAGUCUCCUUAAGAUGGUAUGUGAUUUAAGUCCUUAAUUCUGGAGGGACUUAAAAUAUCCCUAGAUAUUCAGUCAUAGCACCCUGGAAUACAAGAAUGCAGAGAACUUACUGAUUGCCAGGGUAAGUCAUCUUGAGGGUUUCAUUGUUGUUUGUUUGUAUGUUUGUUUCUAAUGGAGAAACUGAGGUCCUGAGGAAGGAAGAGACUUCUCCAGGUCGCAGAAUUUGGGGGCACAGUUGAGGGCAGACCCUGGCCCCGACCGUCCCCUACAGUGUGGCCUCAGUGUCUGUGUGGGAUGAUACUUGUGCACUAAUUGUGUCAGCUAGAGGGCAGGUUGACUGGAGAAGAGGGCAGUUCCUCUCCUCUGGUCACAUCUGCCUGCACGGCCCCAGCUCUACGAUGCCCAGUAUGUCGGCAUUGCUCCCUUGGCAUCGCCCGCUUAGGAGACUGGUGUCCAGGGAGGGACUAGAUGACCAGUACUUGUGACCUGUGUCAGAAUGAGCUGAUGGCAGGAGCCCCUCAUGGAAACUGCAAGAUAAAGUAUGACCUUGAGUGUCAAGAACCAGAAUAAAAGUUGUGUUUCUCUGGUCAUCAUUUAGCUACAAAGUUUUCCCCAGUCAUUAGGAAACUUGUUCCUGCAUCUUUCCAAGGGGCAAGGGAAACUCAGAGGGAGGAACUCGCACUCUUCAGUCCUCACGUGCUUGUGUUUCGCUGCUGACUGACCAAAAUGUGCCAGUGGCAAAACUGUAAAAGCUGCUCAAGUCGGACAUUUUCAAUCUCACCCUAAAGAAAGUGAAGUCCUACAGUCAGGUCCGUAGGAAUAGGUGUGGGGAGAUGCAGCAACAAGUAGGAGCUGUCAGUGGCUUUAACGAGUAAACAGGAUUGGAUUCUGAAGACGCCCACAUGGUGUGUAAGUGCAGUGGCGUGUGUGUGGUGUGGAAACGGACAGACCAGUGUUGUGACAUUUCCUGCCAUCGUCUGACAUUUGCUCACUGUUCACCUUUGGUUUUCUGAUCUACAGAACUGCGAUACUACAAGGCCAUGUCGUUGCAUUGAAGGAAAGUGACAGGAUGGGAACAGGGCCCAACCCCACCUCGCACUGUUCCUUUAGGACUCAGGUAGGAGGACUUGUUUACAGCACCUGGUGUUUAAGAUUUGCGUUGCGUGCUUACG